UCCUGGCUUAGGAUGAACGCUAGCGACAGGCUUAACACAUGCAAGUCGAGGGGCAGCAUAAAAGUAGCAAUACUUGGUGGCGACCGGCGCACGGGUGAGUAACGCGUAUGCAACCUACCUAUCAGAGGGGAAUAACCCGGCGAAAGUCGGACUAAUACCGCAUAAAACAGGGACACCGCAUGGUGAUAUUUGUUAAAGAAAUUCGCUGAUAGAUGGGCAUGCGUUCCAUUAGGUAGUUGGUGAGGUAACGGCUCACCAAGCCGACGAUGGAUAGGGGAACUGAGAGGUUGGUCCCCCACACUGGCACUGAGACACGGACCAGACUCCUACGGGAGGCAGCAGUGAGGAAUAUUGGUCAAUGGGCGAGAGCCUGAACCAGCCAAGUCGCGUGAAGGAAGAAGGAUCUAUGGUUCGUAAACUUCUUUUGCAGGGGAAUAAAGUGCAGGACGUGUCCUGUUUUGUAUGUACCCUGAGAAUAAGGAUCGGCUAACUCCGUGCCAGCCGCCGC
rnacentral:rRNA from 1 species